rnacentral:rRNA from 1 species
AUGGCUCAGGAUGAACGCUGGCGGCGUGCUUAACACAUGCAAGUCGAACGGAGUUUUUAACGGAAGUUUCGGAUGGAAGUUUAGAACUUAGUGGCGGACGGGUGAGUAACGCGCGGGUAACCUGCCUCAUACAGGGGGAUAACAGUUAGAAAUGACUGCUAACACCGCAUAAUAUAGCGAAACCGCAUGAUUUUUGCUAUCAAAUAUUUAUAGGUAUGAGAUGGGCCCGCGUCUGAUUAGCUAGUUGGUGGGGUAAAAGCCUACCAAGGCGACGAUCAGUAGCCGGCUUGAGAGAGUGACCGGCCACAUUGGGACUGAGACACGGCCCAAACUCCUACGGGAGGCAGCAGUGGGGAAUAUUGGACAAUGGGGGGAAACCCUGGUCCAGCGACGCCCGCGUGAGUGAAGAAGUAUUUCGGUAUGUAAAGCUCUAUCAGCAGGGAAGAUAAUGACAGUACCUGACUAAGAAGCCCCGGCUAACUACGUGCCAGCAGCUGC